GGGGGUGUUAAAAGUCGCAAGAUGCGCCCAUUGCCAUUUCGCAAUCCGUCACUGCUUGAUGUGACGCAAAUACCUCAAGCAACCACACAAAUGCAAACAGCAUUGUCAGCAGAGUAACGACUGCGCUCGCGCGAGCGUUCGCAGUUCCGAGCUUUGCGCCAGUUGUAGCCUAACGCUUGCAACCGCCGCCGCUCUAGGCCUGAAUGGAGUGAUCACGGCGCCAUACUUCAGGACGCAGCCGGAGCGCGCCUCAAGCUCCGGUAAAGCCUUAGAGGAUAGUCGCGCGCAUGUUUUGCCCGUUUAGAGUGCGCGCGGCGAAUACGCUAAACAGGCUACGAUUGUAGACGAAUGCAAGAAGCGCAUUUUCACGCGGGAGAAUAGCCCGCCACCUCCACCA
rnacentral:tmRNA from 1 species